rnacentral:rRNA from 1 species
UGGGGAAUAUUGCACAAUGGGCGCAAGCCUGAUGCAGCCAUGCCGCGUGUGUGAAGAAGGCCUUCGGGUUGUAAAGCACUUUCAGCGGGGAGGAAGGCGUUAAGGUUAAUAACCUUGGCGAUUGACGUUACCCGCAGAAGAAGCACCGGCUAACUCCGUGCCAGCAGCCGCGGUAAUACGGAGGGUGCAAGCGUUAAUCGGAAUUACUGGGCGUAAAGCGCACGCAGGCGGUCUGUCAAGUCGGAUGUGAAAUCCCCGGGCUCAACCUGGGAACUGCAUUAGAAACUGGCAGGCUAGAGUCUUGUAGAGGGGGGUAGAAUUCCAGGUGUAGCGAUGAAAUGCGGAGAGAUCUGGAGGAAUACCGGUGGCGAAGGCGGCCCCCUGGACAAAGACUGACGCUCAGGUGCGAAAGCGUGGGGAGCAAACAGG